rnacentral:rRNA from 1 species
UAUUUAUACAUAUAAUUAGAUUGAAAGAUGGUUCUGCUAUCACUUACAGAUGGGCCCGCGGCGCAUUAGCUAGUUGGUGAGGUAACGGCUCACCAAGGCGACGAUGCGUAGCCGACCUGAGAGGGUGAUCGGCCACACUGGGACUGAGACACGGCCCAGACUCCUACGGGAGGCAGCAGUAGGGAAUCUUCCGCAAUGGACGAAAGUCUGACGGAGCAACGCCGCGUGAGUGAUGAAGGUUUUCGGAUCGUAAAACUCUGUUGUUAGGGAAGAACAAGUAUCGGAGUAACUGCCGGUACCUUGACGGUACCUAACCAGAAAGCCACGGCUAACUACGUGCCAGCAGCCGCGGUAAUACGUACGUGGCAAGCGUUGUCCGGAAUUAUUGGGCGUAAAGCGCGCGCAGGCGGUUCCUUAAGUCUGAUGUGAAAGCCCACGGCUCAACCGUGGAGGGUCAUUGGAAACUGGGGAACUUGAGUGCAUAAGAAGAAAGUGGAAUUCCAAGUGUAGCGGUGAAAUGCGUACAGAUUUGGAGGAACACCAGUGGCGA